rnacentral:rRNA from 1 species
CCUACGGGUGGCAGCAGUGGGGAAUAUUGGACAAUGGGGGGAACCCUGAUCCAGCCAUGCCGCGUGUGUGAAGAAGGCCCUCGGGGUGUAAAGCACUUUCAGUGAGGAAGAACGCCUGGUGGUUAAUACCCAUCAGGAAAGACAUCACUCACAGAAGAAGCACCGGCUAACUCCGUGCCAGCAGCCGCGGUAAUACGGAGGGUGCGAGCGUUAAUCGGAAUUACUGGGCGUAAAGCGCGCGUAGGUGGCUUGAUAAGCCGGUUGUGAAAGCCCCGGGCUCAACCUGGGAACGGCAUCCGGAACUGUCAAGCUAGAGGGCAGGAGAGGAAGGUAGAAUUCCCGGUGUAGCGGUGAAAUGCGUAGAGAUCGGGAGGAAUACCAGUGGCGAAGGCGGCCUUCUGGACUGACACUGACACUGAGGUGCGAAAGCGUGGGUAGCAAACAGGAUUAGAUACCCUGGUAGUC